UUCAACCAAAGACAGUAGGUGCCGUUAUCGGCGUAAGUUUUACCGCCUACCGAGGAAUGAGCAUUAUGUAAUUUAUUUGUAUGUAAUGUUGUGCAUUCUCGGUUCUCGGGAAUGCACUUUUUGUUUUGG
rnacentral:sRNA from 1 species